rnacentral:rRNA from 1 species
UCUCUAUGCGGUGCCAGCCGCCGCGGUAAUACGUAGGGUGCGAGCGUUGUCCGGAAUUAUUGGGCGUAAAGGGCUCGUAGGCGGUUUGUCGCGUCGGGAGUGAAAACCAGGUGCUUAACACCCUGGCUUGCUUUCGAUACGGGCAGACUAGAGGUAUUCAGGGGAGAACGGAAUUCCUGGUGUAGCGGUGAAAUGCGCAGAUAUCAGGAGGAACACCGGUGGCGAAGCGGUUCUCUGGGAAUGACCUGACGCUGAGGAGCGAAAGUGUGGGGAGCGAACAGGAUUAGAUACCCUGGUAGUCCACACCGUAAACGUUGGGCGCUAGGUGUGGGGUCCAUUCCACGGGAUUCCGUGCCGCAGCUAACGCAUUAAGCGCCCCGCCUGGGG